CAGCCCAACGCUCUUCAGCUUCUUCUUCUUCUGACGGCUGUGAGCUCUCUGAGGAACUGAACCCUAAACCUUGAAGUCGGCGUCCUGCACACAGUUUAUGGGUGAAUAUUGCUCUGGAUCAACAAGCGAUGCUCCACAUUCUUCUC